AUUGAACGCUGGCGGCAGGCCUAACACAUGCAAGUCGAACGAGUGGCGGACGGGUGAGUAAUGGAUGGGAAACUGCCUGAUGGAGGGGGAUAACUACUGGAAACGGUAGCUAAUACCGCAUACGAUCGGUUCUGCCCACGUGGGAUUAGCUAGUCGGUGGGGUAAAGGCUCACAUAGGCGACGAUCCCUAGCUGGUCUGAGAGGGUGGCCAGCCACACGGGAACUGAGACACGGUCCAGACUCCUACGGGAGGCAGCAGUGGGGAAUAUUGGGCAAUGGGCGCAAGUCUGAUGCAGCCAUGCCGCGUGUGUGAAGAAGGCCUUCGGAUUGUAAAGUUCUUUCGGUAGCGAAGCGUUAACUACAGAGAAAGCACCGGCUAACUCCGUGCCAGCAGCCGCGGUAAUAC
rnacentral:rRNA from 1 species